UACGUAGGGGGCAAGCGUUGUCCGGAUUUAUUGGGCGUAAAGCGCGUGUAGGCGGCCACACAGGUCCGUUGUGAAAACUCGAGGCUUAACCUCGAGACGUCGAUGGAAACCGUAUGGCUAGAGUCCGGAAGAGGAGAGUGGAAUUCCUGGUGUAGCGGUGAAAUGCGCAGAUAUCAGGAAGAACACCCGUGGCGAAGGCGGCUCUCUGGGACGGUACUGACGCUGAGAAGCGAAAGCAUGGGGAGCGAACAGG
rnacentral:rRNA from 1 species